rnacentral:lncRNA from 1 species
UAUUCUGACACAUAUAAUCAUUGUGGUUGAACACGGGAAAAUAGAAUUGUAUUAAUAAAUUGCAGACAGAAGCAUAUAUUCAUAAUCAUCAACCCACAAAGCUAUAUUACUCUUUCUAUUUAACCAUUCAAUAUGUACAUAAAUUAAUGGUUCGUCUUGGUAUUAGAGGAUGAGAGGCAGAACUCAUUAAACUAAAGAUUCCCUCAAAUAUUUUUGAUUACAAGGUCACGGUCUGAGACCUCAUUAACUCUUAAAACAUACAGAGAAGGAAAAUACUUUUACUACAUUCAUUCGGUCAGAUUUUUUCUUUCCGUAAGUUUUAAAAUUAAUCUCUUCAAUCGAAGAUUAUCAGUUCAAAUAUCCAUGCUCUGAUACCACAUGUAAGCAUAAACUUUAAUUUACACCAAAAUCUUGAACAUGAUAAUCUUACACAAAAUCGUUACAGAAAACAUACCUGAAGCGGAAUCCAUUAUCUUGAAGCGGAAGCAUUAAUCGGUAAUUGGUUUCUCGCCUCUUACCCUAACUUUACGUUAGGACCGACUUUAGUGAUGGAAGAGAGAAUAAAAAAAUACGGUAACCCUAAUGGGUGGGGAGAUGACCAAUUUAUAGAGAUUCUCACUUAAUCUGGUACGUCCAUCAAGUGACCAAUCGGACGGAUGAGAUUUAAUAAUUAAUUAAAUAUUAAUUAUGGGCCUUAACCUACUGGGUCACAUACACGUAGGAAAAUAACUUACAGUGAUCACCCAUGGUAACAGGUCGGAGGAGCACUGCUCUGAUAUCAAUGAUACGCAUUAUACAUAAUUAGAAGGAGAAUAAGCAAAACCUAAGAAGCAAAUGUGCAGAGUUGCUCCUAAACAGUUGAGUUUGAUGGAGAAGAAGAAUAAAAGAAGAGCUGAGAGAGAUAAGAGGGAUUCUUAGUAAUUAAAAUGUUUGAAUUAAUUGUACAACUAAAUCCAUUGUUAUGUAUACACGAGCAAUUCGAAAGAGAAAAGGAAUCUGGAAGUUAAUUAUAACUAACUCCCUCACAGUUGUACCAGAAGUCAUAUGCGGCACGUGACCUUAACUAACAUCUAAUAAAUUGAUUAAAUCUUCAACUAAAAUACAAAUUGGCUUCAACUAAAAUAUGACUUGGCAACUAAAAUAGCUAAUCUGGAAAUCUAAUUGAACCGACUCAUAUCAGUUUAAUAUCAAAAUAACCAUCUAAAUUGCUGAAAGUUUGCAAAUUCAAACUUCCUUUAUGGGUGAUAUCAAUUCCUGAAAAAGAUUUUAAAAAAAAAAAAAGAAACUGUGAAAAGGAAAUAUUAAAAAAAAAAAAAAAGAUGCGAGAGAAAUUAAUUACAAUUGGGAAGAGCUUUGUGUAUCUUCUGCAAUGGUUAGCCGAACUUCUGAGUUACAAG